UACGUAGGGGGCAAGCGUUGUCCGGAAUCAUUGGGCGUAAAGCGCGCGUAGGCGGCCCGGUAAGUCCGUUGUAAAAGUCAAAGGCUCAACCUUUGAAAGCCGAUGGAUACUGCCGGGCUAGAAUCCGGAAGAGGCGAGUGGAAUUCCUGGUGUAGCGGUGGAAUGCGCAGAUAUCAGGAGGAACACCAACAGCGAAGGCAGCUCGCUGGGACGGUAUUGACGCUAAGGCGCGAAAGCGUGGGGAGCAAACAGG
rnacentral:rRNA from 1 species